rnacentral:rRNA from 4 species
CCACUUUGUGAUUCAUGACUGGGGUGAAGUCGUAACAAGGUAACCGUAGGGGAACCUGCGGUUGGAUCACCUCCUUACCUUAAAGAAGC